rnacentral:rRNA from 1 species
UGGGGAAUAUUGGGCAAUGCCCGCAAGGGUGACCCAGCAACGCCGCGUGGAGGAUGAAUGUCGUAAGAUUGUAAACUCCUGUUAGAGGGGAAGAAUAGUACCGGUUGGACCGGUAUAUGACUGUACCCUCAGAGAAAGCCCCGGCUAACUACGUGCCAGCAGCCGCGGUAAUACGUAGGGGGCAAGCGUUGUCCGGAUUUACUGGGUGUAAAGGGCGCGCAGGCGGGAUAAAAAGUCAGUGGUGAAAUCCUACAGCUUAACUGUAGAACUGCCUUUGAUACUUUUAUUCUUGAGUUCGGGAGAGAGAGACGGAAUUCCAGGUGUAGUGGUGAAAUACGUAGAUAUCUGGAAGAACACCAGUUGCGAAGGCGGUCUCUUGGUCCGACACUGACGCUGAGGCGCGAAAGCGUGGGGAGCAAAC